UACGGAGGGGGCUAGCGUUGUUCGGAAUUACUGGGCGUAAAGGGCUCGUAGGCGGCCAACUAAGUCAGACGUGAAAUCCCUCGGCUUAACCGGGGAACUGCGUCUGAUACUGGAUGGCUUGAGGUUGGGAGAGGGAUGCGGAAUUCCAGGUGUAGCGGUGAAAUGCGUAGAUAUCUGGAGGAACACCGGUGGCGAAGGCGGCAUCCUGGACCAAUUCUGACGCUGAGUGAGCGAAAGCCAGGGGAGCAAACGGG
rnacentral:rRNA from 1 species